rnacentral:rRNA from 1 species
ACUUUGAAAAGAGAGUUAAAAGUGCCUGAAAUUGCUGAAAGGGAAGCGAAUGGAACCAGUCUUCUUGGUGAGAUUGUUGCACGCUAUGGUGAUUGCUUGCUGCUUCAACGCAAGUGUUGCAGUGGGUUUUGAUCCUGACGUGUGCUUUGUUUCUUACCUCGUGUGUCAACGUCGGUUCGGAAUUGAGGAAAACUCUAGGGACAUGGUAACUCGCCUGCGGGUGAGCCAAUGUGCCUGGUAGAACUCAUUUCUUAACUGAUUUCUGCAUGUCUGGUCGCAGUGUUUCAUUACCUGUGUUCUGGUAUUGCGCUUGUGGCUCUUCUGCUGCUUGCUGCGUUGCUGGGCCUGGUCGUGGAGCAUCUCCCUGACAUUAGUACGAUGACAAAAUGGUUUCAUUCGACCCGUCUUGAAACACGGACCAAGGAGUCUAACAUAUGUGCAAGUUCAUGGGUGUUAAACCUAAUUGCGCAAUGAAAGUGACUGCUGGGAUAUUUGCACCAGCAACCGACCAAUCAAUUGUGAGAGGUUUGAGUAUGAGCAUAUCUGUUAGGACCCGAAAGAUGGUGAACUAUGCGUGAGAAGGGUGAAGUCAGGGGAAACUCUGAUGGAGGCUCGUAGCGAUACUGACGUGCAAAUCGUUCGUCAUACUUGCGUAUAGGGGCGAAAGACUAAUCGAACCAUCUAGUAGCUGGUUCCCUCCGAAGUUUCCCUCAGGAUAGCUGGAGUUGAACAGUUUUAUCAGGUAAAGCGAAUGAUUAGAGGAAUCGGGGACGCGUUGUCCUCGACCUAUUCUCAAACUUUAAAUGGGUAAGAUCCAGUGGUUACUUGGGUGAACUUCUGGGAUAAAUGACAACUCUAAGUGGGCCAUUUUUGGUAAGCAGAACUGGCGAUGAGGGAUGAACCUAACGUUGGGUUAAGGUGCUUAACUGCUCGCUCAUCAGAUACCAUAAAGGGUGUUGGUUCAUUUUAACAGCAGGACGUUG